GAUGAAGAACGUAGCGAAAUGCGAUACGUAAUGUGAAUUGCAGAAUUCAGUGAAUCAUCGAAUCUUUGAACGCACAUUGCGCCUGCCAGCACUCUGGCAGGCAUGCCUGUUCGAGCGUCAUUUCAACCAUCAAGCCCUAGGCUUGCGUUGGAGCCCUGCGGCUGCCGCAGGCCCCUAAAAGCAGUGGCGGGCUCGCUAUCACACCGAGUGCAGUAGAUUACUCUUCGCUCAGGGCGUGUGGCGGGUUCCAGCCGUGAAACCCCCUACUUCUCAAGGUUGACCUCGGAUCAGGUAGGAAUACCCGCUGAACUUAGCAUAUCAAUAAGCGGAGGA
rnacentral:misc_RNA from 1 species